CAUUUCAUUUUUUUUUUUUAACAAAAGCCAUCAAUGUUGCUUCACCUUUAAAUAAAAUGUAAUAUAUUUUAACCCUUAUACUAUUAGUGUUCCAUCUGAGUAAAUGUCCUUAAAUGCGCCAAUUGCUAGUUCCACUAAUUAAACUGCCUUUAUAAGCCACUUUUUACGUAACCCAUAUAUAUAUACAUAGAACAGAAACACGUUAACGAAAGGCCCAUAAUUCAUUUUACCCCAAAGUACGUGACAGCAUGACCAACACAAAUUUCAUUUUUCUUAUGCGUUUUUUUUUUUUCAUAAUAAAAAAAAAAAAAAAAAAAAAUUAAAACCAUGAUGGAGCUUAAAGAUUUUCUAUUAUUUAAUAAUGAUGUAUUAAAUAACUUAUCGUUUUUUGAAAACGUUUUAACUUAUUAUAUAUUAAAAAAAUUAACUAAAUUGUUUUUUUUUGAAAAGAGUGCUAAUUAUACUAUUGACAUAUGUUCUUGUGAGGAUUUUACCGUAAACAAUUUAUUUUAUUCAAAUUAUAUUAAUUUUUAUACCUUAAAAAAUAAGCAAGCAUUAUUAAAUUUUUUUUCAAAAGUGAUAUUAAAUGAUUCUCCAAAAAAUGUACAUGCUCAUUUUAAGCACAAUGGGUUAUCAGCACACCGUGUGGCCAACGCUUGGAACGUAUAUCUCAUAACUGUCUUAUACUAUUAUUGCAAUAAAAAAAUAAAAAAGCAAAAUGAGAAGAAGGUACCCAGUUUAAAAAAAAAGUUAGCAAGUAAAAAACAAAACAAGAAAACAAAUUUUUUUACAGAUUUAUGUUCCUAUAUAAUAUCUUUUUUACAUUACGAAAAUCAAAUUAUUAAAAAAAGAGACAAGGAACUAUUUUUAUUUUUAUUUAUUUUUUUUUUUUCAAAAAAAGUAAGAUGUAUAAAAAAAAAUAAAACAAAAGAAACAUGUUACUCUUCUUAUCAAAAUGUGAAAAACAAAAAACCAAAAAAAAAAAAAACAUUUUCUAAAAACUCAUUAAACAAUUAUAAUGCAACUCAGUUGUUUGAACAUUUCAACAAAUUAAACAUAACAAAUAUAAACGAUUUGAUUCAUAAUCAUUUAUGUCAUAUAUAUUUGUUUAACGACGACCAAAAUAGUAACAGUAUUGUUGGCGUUAGUGACAUACGUAGUAGCAGCAACAUCACCAACGUAGAAGAAAACGUGGCCCAAAACAAUACAAACUACCCGAAUUUCUUCUCAAAAACAAAGAAACCUAAACAAACUCUAAUUAUUUGUAAAAAGUCUCUAUUUUUUUUUAAUAAAAUAUGUUUAAGCUAUUUACAUUUUUUAAAUGCACAAUGUAACAAUAAUCCAAAAUUUAUAUGUGUUGAAAAAAAAAUUUUAUAUGAUAAUAACGAAAAUUUAAAAAAAAUUAAAAAAAAAAACUAUCAAAAUUUUCUAUUACAAUAUUACAACAUACAAAAUGCGAAUAUAAAGAAUAAAAAUUUGUCUUUUUUCUUUUUGUCAUUAUUAAUUAAUAAAAUCCAGUAUAAAAGAAACAUUUAUAAUUUUUCAAAAAAUGAUUAUCAUUCUUUUCAUAACUGUCGUCCCUAUUUGUUUAACAGACACACUUAUUUGUUUAAAAAAAGAAAAUAUUAUGCUUUAUAUAUAAAAAAAUGUUUAUUAAUUUUUUAUUAUACAUUUUUUUUUACGAAAAAAAAAAAAUCAAAACAAAUUAACGACAUUAGUAGUACAACUCAUACAAAUUUUAUUACUAAAAAAUAUCGAAGUAAAAAUAAAGUACUAACACAACAUGGGAAUAAAACAGUUUUACACACAUAUGAACAGAAAAAAAAAAAAAAUUUUUUUUUUUUUUUAUUUACGACAACAUGUGUAUAUAUAUGUCUCCUUUACAACAACAAUUAUUAUAAUUUAUCUAACUCUUUAAUAUAUUUGAUAAAAAAAAAAAAAAAAAGUAUAAAGUUACAUGAACGGGUUAAUUAUUUUAUAAAUGAGCUACUAAAACUAGACGCAAAAUGUGCAUAUGUGUGGAAUAUCAAAUCAUUUCUGUUUUAUUCGUACAUUCAAAAAUGUCAAAGAGAGAACUUAAAAGUGAUCAAACGGUGUCAAGUAUGGGGGACAACACUGUUUAAAAAAAAUAGCCUAUAUAAACAUACGCAUUGCAAUUUAUUAAUACCUGCCCAAUUUCGAACUUAUAACUACACGCACGUUAGAAAAGUAAAAAACGAAACACAUUUUGCAAGUAACAAUAAUAAUAAUACAAUAAUAAAUUAUAUUAACACAAAUUUUGACUUUUUUUUUAACAUAAUAGAACUUAAAGCACAUAACUAUAUGGUCGCUUCAUACAUAUAUACCUUUUAUACUGUGCUAACAAAUUUACCCACAAAAUUUUUUUUUACAAAAGAAAAAAAAAUUGUUUUUAUUUGUGAUGAAGGAAAC
ensembl:lncRNA